rnacentral:rRNA from 1 species
AUUGAACGCUGGCGGCAUGCUUUACACAUGCAAGUCGAACGGUAACAGGGUGCUUGCACCGCUGACGAGUGGCGAACGGGUGAGUAAUGCGUCGGAACGUGCCGAGUAGUGGGGGAUAACGCAGCGAAAGUUGUGCUAAUACCGCAUACGUACUGAGGUAGAAAGUGGGGGACCUUCGGGCCUCACGCUAUUCGAGCGGCCGACGUCUGAUUAGCUAGUAGGUGAGGUAAAGGCUCACCUAGGCGACGAUCAGUGGCGGGUCUGAGAGGAUGAUCCGCCACACUGGGACUGAGACACGGCCCAGACUCCUACGGGAGGCAGCAGUGGGGAAUUUUGGACAAUGGGCGGAAGCCUGAUCCAGCCAUGCCGCGUGUCUGAAGAAGGCCUUCGGGUUGUAAAGGACUUUUGUCGGGGAGGAAAUCCCCAGCGUUAAUACCGCUGGGGGAUGACAGUACCUGAAGAAUAAGCACCGGCUAACUACGUGCCAGCCGCCGCCGUAACAC